rnacentral:rRNA from 1 species
AAACCAACCGGGAUUGCCUCAGUAACGGCGAGUGAAGCGGCAAAAGCUCAAAUUUGAAAUCCUUCGGGAGUUGUAAUUUGUAGAGGGGUGUCUUUGGGGCGGCAUUGUCUAUGUUCCUUGGAACAGGACGUCACAGAGGGUGAGAAUCCCGUGCGAUGAUGCCUCAACCAGUACAAGACCCUCUCGACGAGUCGAGUUGUUUGGGAAUGCAGCUCUAAGUGGGUGGUAAAUUCCAUCUAAAGCUAAAUACUGGCGAGAGACCGAUAGCGAACAAGUACAGUGAUGGAAAGAUGAAAAGCACUUUGAAAAGAGAGUGAAACAGUACGUGAAAUUGUUGAAAGGGAAGGGUAGGAGGUGAGGGGAAGAGCUGCUUAGGCGCGGGAGAUAAACAAGCAGGAAGCGCUUCGGUGCGGCCUGGUAAAUAUCCCGUGCUUGUGUGGUUCUUCCGUAAUCCCCUUCUACCGCCCGUCUUGAACCACGGACCA